CCUGUAGCAGGAAACGGAAAUCAGCCAGGAAUUGUGGGGAUGUGCCCCUCCUGUGUACAGCCCCACUUGCUAGAAUAUACUAGUGUCUUCUUCCAGACACUGGGUGGGGGGAGGGGUGCAGCAGCCCAGGACCAAGAAAAAUCACAGCACUUUCCCUACUUCUUCAUCAGCCCCUCUCUCCUGUUUCCCAACACCAAGCAGGACCCUCUGAACCUCCUGGGAAGACCCAGGACACAGGAUGCCAUCUUCACUAGCGGCAGGCGGAUGCCCCGAAAGAGGCCCUUGGCACCAGAGAGCCCGAGCCUCCAGAUGCUGGGGACAGGCCAGACAGCGGGGAAGGAGUCAGGACACUUACAGCCGGGCCAGUUUCGCCCGAACGUCCGCGGGGACCAGGAGGUCCAAUGGGGCCAGGGAUUCCAUUAGCACCAUCUUUGCCAGAGGGACCGACGGGACCAGGAGGACCCUGCAGGCCAGGAGAGAGGAGCCGUCAGCAAAGGCAGGGGUGUGGUGGGGGGGGCAAGGGGGGCUGGUCGGGUGGCUGUCCUGAUGGGAAGCCCUGCAGCUUCACAUUUCUCGGAGGGCCCAGACUCGUGUCCGCUGGGCCAGGGACCAGCAGGAUGGCUUCACGGCUCUUCUAUCCUGAGCUCCUCUUUGUCGAAUCCUAUUCCCAGUGGGCCCAGCUGACAGCCAAGAGCUGUUCUCAUGUUCAUCCAGCCUGUGAUCUCAGGGGGUUUCUGGCCACAGUCACCCUGAGCCCGUCGUCCUUCCACCUCCGAGUGAGGCCCCCUGAGCCCCAGGCUUCCCUCCCCAUCAGAGCGCCCACACCUGGCCCCACCCCCGAGGAAGGACUCCCUGCAUCUCACUUACUCUAGGGCCAGAAGGACCAGCAGGACCAGAAGCACCUUGGUCUCCAGAAGGACCCUGAGCAGAAGGAAGAAGCAAAAGUCAGAGCUUUUACUGAAUUAAGGAUACUCACAGCUUCUCCUCGGUCUCCCUGCUUUCCAGUUGGGCCAGCGGGGCCAGGAGAGCCAGGGGGCCCAGGGGCUCCAGGAGCACCCACGGGACCAGUCUCACCACGAUCACCCUGUCAGGAGAGAGGUCUCAGGCUUAGAGAAGAACGUUCCAGAAAAUCCAUGGAGAAAAGGCCCUUGAAACUGAGACAAGACUCUGACUCCAGCCUACCACCUGGGGCUGACCUGGUAGGCCCAACAGAAUAUUCUCCUGUCCCACUGCUCAUAGAGACACCGAGAUAUUCACCUUGACUCCAGCCGCACCAUCUCUGCCAGGGGGGCCAUCAGCACCAGGGCUUCCCUGGACAAGAGGAAACAAGAUGCCAUUAGAGCUGCCCCUGCCAGACUCCCAUUCUGUUCCUCCCUUCUCCCGUCGGGAGCCCCAGGCUUGUUCCCUUCCAUCCUGCUAAAGCUUUGGAAGCUCAACAAGCUUCCUUCUGCCUUCC